GUGGGGCUGGGGCUCAGUGGAAGAGCACUUGCCUAGCAUGUGUGAUGCACUGGGUUCGAUCCUCAGCACCACA
rnacentral:tRNA from 1 species